rnacentral:lncRNA from 1 species
AGUAACUUGAAAGUGCCCCUAUCUCCACACCUUUGCUAACACAGAGGGUUACAAUUUUUUCUGUUUGUUCAUUUGUUAGACAAGACAUGCUAUAUUAUUGUCCUCUACUUAUAGACUUAACUCGGGGCUGAGAUCAGAAAAUAGAAUAUGGAAGGAUAGAAGGAAGCCUUGUCCAUUUGUCUUAUGGCUCUAAAGAUGAAUUUUAGAUUGGUGCCUUUUCAUUAGUCUGUUCAACAAAUGUUUUCUUUGCGUGCCCCUUCAAGAAAGGAAAAUGAGAUAUAAAAUUUGUAUUUGACAACCUAGUGAUAUUCCUCACUUGAUGGCACAUUAGCACCAUGGUCCAUCCUAGGAUGCUCUCUUGUUUUCUCAUUUCCCCUCCUUUCAUCUGGAUCCCCACUCUUUUCCCCUGCUCUUCCAUAAGCAACUAUUCUAGUAUGUUUAACAUACAUAUUGUAUAUGCAUGUUCCUUGAAGGAUAUAUAGUGUUUUGUGGUUUUGAGAAUAUGUGUUUUUAACUUACAUAAGUUGCAUUCCUAACUGUUGUGUUAUCUUACAUUCUCCACUCCUAAACAUUACACUAAAAGCAAACUCUAUCCUUGUGUUGCAAUCAUGUUUAUAUUUUUGCCUGUAAUUGCAGCAAAAGAUUCCAUAGUGUCUACCUGAGGUCCAGAAUAGAAGGAACUUGUGCUCACUUCCAGAGAAGAAGAUCAAAUGCACAUUUAUGUGUUGUUAUUUCUUGAACAAAGGACAUCAUGAUCACUUAUGUGGCUACAUACAUCUACAAUCCAUCUGCAUCCAUCAGUAAUAUCCACCACCACCAGAGGCUCCUGUUACUGCUGGGAUUCCCAGCUACUUCCAAUUUCCACACAAUGAUCGUGUUCUCUGGAUCUGGACUCAGAUCACCAAGCAAAAAUCCAGUGCACUACAUUGAGUGUCAAAGUAUUCCCUGGGAAAUUGGUUCUUCGUGGAGCAAGAUGGGAUGUUUCAGUAGCUUCCUGUUACCUGACAAAACACAGAUUCGAAGAGAUAAACCGCAGCCUUGUUCAUGCAAUACGGUUACUUAUGUCUGGCAUCAUCAAUGA